GAGUUUGAUCCCUGGCUCAGAUUGAACGCUGGCGGCAGGCCUAACACAUGCAAGUCGAGCGGUAACAUUUCUAGCUUGCUAGAAGAUGACGAGCGGCGGACGGGUGAGUAAUGCUUGGGAACAUGCCUUUAGGUGGGGGACAACAGUUGGAAACGACUGCUAAUACCGCAUAAUGUCUACGGACCAAAGUGGGGGACCUUCGGGCCUCACGCCUAAAGAUUGGCCCAAGUGGGAUUAGCUAGUUGGUGAGGUAAUGGCUCACCAAGGCGACGAUCCCUAGCUGGUUUGAGAGGAUGAUCAGCCACACUGGGACUGAGACACGGCCCAGACUCCUACGGGAGGCAGCAGUGGGGAAUAUUGCACAAUGGGCGCAAGCCUGAUGCAGCCAUGCCGCGUGUGUGAAGAAGGCCUUCGGGUUGUAAAGCACUUUCAGUAAGGAGGAAAGGUUGGAUGUUAAUAGCAUUCAGCUGUGACGUUACUUACAGAAGAAGCACCGGCUAACUCCGUGCCAGCAGCCGCGGUAAUAC
rnacentral:rRNA from 1 species